CGGUAAUUCCAGCUCCAAUAGCGUAUACUAAAGUUGUUGCAGUUAAAAAGCUCGUAGUUGGAUUUCUGCGGGGACGGAGCGGCCGGUCGCAACUUGCGACUCGAGCUAGCGCUUUCCCCGCAUCCUGCCGCGAACCGUGCUACCAUUAGUUUGGUGGCGCUGGGGAUCGACUCGAUUACUUUGAGAAAAAUAGAGUGUUCAAAGCAGGCCACACGCCUUGAAUAAGUUAGCAUGGAAUAAUGACUAAGGACUUUGGUUCUUUUCGUUGGUGUUCGGGACUGAAGUAAUGAUUGAUAGGGACAGUUGGGGCGGUCCGUAUUCCAAAGCGAGAGGUGAAAUUCUUAGACCUUCGGAAGACGAACAGCUGCGAAAGCGUUCCGCAAGGAUGUUCCCUUUGAUCAAGAACGAAAGUUGGGGGAUCGAAGACGAUCAGAUACCGUCGUAGUCUCAACUAUAAACUAUACCAGCUAGGGAUCGGCCAACGUUUAAUUAUUCGACUUGGUCGGCACCUUAUGAGAAAUCAAAGCAUCUGGGUUCCGGGGGGAGUAUGGUCGCAAGGCUGAAACUUAAAGGAAUUGACGGAAGGGCACUACCAGCCGUGGAGCCUGUGGCUUAAUUUGACUCAACACGGGAAAACUUACCAGGUCCGGACAUAGUAAGGAUUGGCAGAUUGAUAGCUCUUUCUUGAUUCUGUGGGUGGUGGUGCAUGGCCGUUUUUAGUCGGUGGAUGUGAUCUGUCUGCUUAAUUGCGUUAACGGACGAGACCCCAGCCUGCUAAAUAGCGCGGCCGAGCUUUGCUCGGUGCGAGCUUCUUAGAGGGACCAUGAUGCGCGAUAGCACAAGGAAGUUUGGGGCAACAACAGGUCUGUGAUGCCCUUAGAUGUUCUGGGCCGCACACGGGCUACACUGGCGCCUGCAACGAGCAUAUCAGCUGGCCCGAGAGGGUCUUGGCUAAUCUUUGGAACCGGCGCCGUGCUUGGGGUUGACCAUUGCAAUUGUUGGUCAUGCAACGAGGAAUGCCUUGUAAACGCGAGUCAUCAGCUCGCAUUGAAUACGUCCCUGCUCCUUGUACACACCGCCC
rnacentral:rRNA from 1 species